rnacentral:lncRNA from 1 species
AGAGGGCGGAAGUCACGAGGAAGGAGAUUUGGGCUCGACUUGAGGAAGAACUCCAUCCGCAGAGCUGUCAAAAACAGAAGGAGCUACCCGGGGAGCUUCAAUCAGGCAGAGGACCAUGAGGGCCUAGAGGCUGGCAGAGCAAUGAGUGGAAGGAACCUGGGUUUCUGAACGACCACGAGGAGAGAGCUUCCCACUCACCUGGACUGCUCAUCUCAGAAUUGCUACAUGAGCGAAAAAGAAACUGAUAUCCUUUCCACUGCUGCGUUCUGGAAUCUCCUUGUCAGCCUGCUCUACCAAAUACACUGAGGCUUUUGGAAAGAGUAAGAGUGGAAACAGGACUUUUUUCAUGGAACAUCUCCUGUGUCCUCAGUCCUGUGCCAGCCUCUCUAUCUUUGAAGGGAAACCAUUCAUCUUCUGCUCAUAAUCUAUGUGGCCACAGAGAAUUGUCACCAUCCUUUGUCUCCAAGGUUUAUACGUGGGACGCCUACCACAGCGUGGCUGCCAAGCAGUGCCAUGUCCGCACCCGGGAUCCGAACCAGCGAACCCCGGGCCACCGAGAAGCAGAA